CCUUGGCUUGUCAUAGUCCUAUCAAAUUCCAUCUGCCUGCAUUGUCGCAUCAAAAUGGUUUUGUACCCUCUCUUCGUGGUAUAGCUGAAUAAUUCUUUGAUUGGCAUCGAGCCUUGUUUGAGACACAUCCAUUCCUUUGAAUCAAUUUCAAGACCUUUCAUUAGAUCCCCUCCUUGUGUCUGUACAAUAUACGUCCCAUCUGGGGAUCAGAUG
rnacentral:lncRNA from 1 species